AGAGUUUGAUCCUGGCUCAGAAUCAACGCUGGCGGCGUGCCUAACACAUGCAAGUCGCACGAGAAAGUGGAGCAAUCCAUGAGUAAAGUGGCGCACGGGUGAGUAACACGUGAAUGAUCUACCUCCGAGUGGGGAAUAACUGAGAGAAAUCUUAGCUAAUACCGCAUAAUACCCACGGGUCAAAGCAGCAAUGCGCUUGGAGAGGAGUUUCCGCGGCCGAUUAGCUAGUUGGCGGGGUAAUGGCCCACCAAGGCGAUGAUCGGUAUUCCGCCUGAAAAGGCCCCCGGAACCCCCUGGAACCGAAACCCGGGUCCAGACUCCUACGGGAGGCAGCAGUGGGGAAUUUUGCGCAAUGGGGGAACCCUGACGCAGCAACGCCGCGUGGAGGAUGAAAUCCCUUGGGGAUGUAAACUCCUUUCGAUAGGGAAGAUGAUGACGG
rnacentral:rRNA from 1 species